rnacentral:rRNA from 1 species
UACAGAGGUCUCAAGCGUUGUUCGGAUUCAUUGGGCGUAAAGGGUGCGCAGGCGGCGCGGUAAGUCGGGCGUGAAAUCUCGGAGCUUAACUCCGAAACUGCAUUCGAUACUGCCGUGCUUGAGGACUGGAGAGGAGACUGGAAUUUACGGUGUAGCGGUGAAAUGCGUAGAUAUCGGAAGGAAGACCAGUGGCGAAGGCGGGUCUCUGGACAGUUCCUGACGCUGAGGCACGAAGGUCAGGGGAGCAAACGGG